UUCUCACGAGAUCUCAUGGUUUUAUAAAUGGCGGUUUCGGCUUUUUGGUCUUUCCUGCUGCCUUGUGAAGAAGGUGCUUGUUUCUUCUUUGCCUUCUGCCAUGAUUGCCAUGUGAAUCGCACCCCUGGAACUGUGCAGGGCCCACCUGUGUGGCCACACGCAGUGACCCUGAGCAAAGGAGUGACCACAGAAGUGCAUGGCAAAGCAGAAAGGUGUGACGUCUUGGAGGACGCGGGAGGAAAGCACGCCCAGCGGACAGGAGCCAUCACGCGGCUGCGGGCUGCUGCUGAGAACCUGGCGUGGGCCACCGUCGUCAGCAGCGUGGAGGAACGCAUAUGCUGCCUCCUUUCUGAUAGGGAGACCCACCCACCUGUUCACCUCUCUGCAUGUGGUCUGCGAGCGGGCUUGGAGCCACAUCUGAAGCCUCACCUCUAGGAGCCAGUUUUGUCUCCUCCUCGUCCCUGCUUCUUAUCAGUCGUGGUACUUUUCUCUUGGGUCCUGACCCUCCAUUUCAGUUGGUGUUUUUCAUCUUUGGGAAGCACCCAGGCAUGGGGGCAGAAGCUUGGGUUUUAGAUUGGGCUGGGCUGGGUUCACAUCUCAACUGUGUGGCCUCAAACAGGUGACUUGACUUCUCUGAGCCUAACCAUUGCCGGUUUCCAUAUUUUAUAUGAAGUGAGCCCUAUUUUGCAGGUCAGGGAGCUGGGGCCUAGCUAGGACCCAAAGGAUUAUUCCAGUUUCUCAUAAAACAAGUACAUAGCAGUUAAUAUUUGCCAUAGGGUACACAAAAAGAUUCAUUGAUUGCCUUCCUAUUUUUAAUCUUCAGAGAAAGACGGAUGGGAUUUCAUUAGCUCAGGGUUGAGAACGUUGCCUCUGUGUAUUUUUGGAGAUGAGCCUUCCGAAGCAACAGGGGCUUAUGCUGCCUGAGAACUGGGGUGUCAACCAGCGUUCACUCCCAGACUUACCAGACAGUAGAGCCUCUCCCAUAAAAGGCACAUCGGAACCCACUUCGGACAAUGCUGCUGUGGGUUAUGGGUCAGAACUUUAAACAAGAGGUAGGGGUGGCCUCAUCCCUUGGGGCUGCUGUGUGCGAAUGACCUGGAGGAGGCUGUGGUGGGGCCAGGCAGGGCCAGUGGGCUGAGCCACGCAUCAGAGUAACCGGCCACACUUUAGAAAGGAGAUUCCUGGGCCUCUCCCUGGCUGCUGUGGUUCAGCAGGGGCGGCGGGGACCCAGGAGCUCCCAGGUGAUCUGACUCCUGGGGAGCAGGGUUUGUAUAAGCCCUGGGCCUGUUGAGGUCAGGGCCUGGUGACCCUAAUUCCUUCCAGACCUGGAUAGGGGUCUAGUCCAGAACCUGCCAGGGAUGGUUUGUCAAAUCUGUUACUCUUCUCCCAAGUAAACCACCAGGAACAAGACACUGUUUUAAAAAUUGUUACUUAUUAUCCCCUUUGGCUUAUUUUUUUUUCUUUCAAAAGCGGCUGGAUGGCAGAGGUGAUAAAGCUGGGAAGAGAGGCAUCCUGGAAGGGCCCGUGUUAUGAAAACCCAGAGUUUCACUCAGAUCGACAGCUGCGUGGGGGCCGGCGCUCCCGGCAGUGAUUGAGUUACCCUCAGCAGCGGGGUCCCGAGGUCGCAAUCCCUGCUGGGGGAGUGAUUGAUGCCGGACUCCAGGGCCCACCUUGGGUGACCCUGGGAUGUCAAUGAGUGACCGCUGAUUCUGGGCCACUUGGUUCUGGGCCACCCGCAUGUCCAGAGACCUCAAGGUGGGCCGACGUCCAACCAGCGAAGCAGAGCAAUCCUUUUGGAAGCUUCUCUCCACGGGGGGCUGGCUGCUCCUUCAUCACUCCCAUCUGAGGGCUUCUGCUUGCAGCCGUCUGUCACGCUGAGCAGCUCUGUGGUGGAUUCUGUGCUGCUUGCUCUGUGUCUAUUUUGUCAAGAUCGCCAGUCUCUCUGGAUUCUCUCCUCUGGGUUGGCCCACGCUCACUCAUCCGGCUUUGGAAGGACAUUUAUCCUCUAGCUUCCUCCAGGAGGGGGAUUUGUCUUAGAGAGUGGCACUUUCUCUUCCCUCCCCAGCCCCUCGUGCACCUUCUGCAGGGAGGGGAGUCCCCUGGUGCUGAGAGGAGAGGUAGGAGAGCCAGGUAGGGCCUGUGGGAGCCCAGCAGAGGUGCCCUGGCCACCUUGAGUGUCUGAGACUCACGGUCUAUUAAAAAUGGAAAAACAAACUGGGCACCGUGGCUCCUACCUGUAAUUCCAGCACUUUGGGAGGCUGAGGCGGGUGGAUCACUUGAGGUCAGGAGUUCAAGACCAGCCUGACCAAUGUGGUGAAACCUUGUCUCUACUAAAAAUACAAAAGUUAGCUGGGUUUGGUGGUACACACCUGUAAUCCCAGCUACUUGGGAGGCAGAGGCAGGAGAAUCGCUUGGACCUGGAAGGUGGAAGUUGCAGUGAGCAGAGAUUGUGCCACUGCACUCCAGCCUGGGUGACAGAGUGAGACUCUUGUCUCAAAAAAAAAAAACAAACAGAAAAAGAAAAAAGAAAAAAAGGAAAAACAACAAA